rnacentral:lncRNA from 1 species
CUACUUCCUAGGUCUGAAACCAUGAUAGUCAUCUUAUCUCUUCGUGUCUUUUAAGCAUUUUCCCAUACAUGCAAUUCUGAUUUGGGGUUCUCUCCCUUCACCAAGACAUUACUAAGUGGAUACAAAAAUUCAAAAAGUCUAAAUGCGGUCAGGCAUCAAUCAUCAGGGAAACCAUCAUGUGCCUAAUACUCGUCAUUUCAAGAUUCCAUUAAACUGUAAAUAUCUUUGAGAUUAGGUCUGAAGUUUGGUUUAUUUGGAGGAAAUUAAGUUGCUUCAUUAGUUAUUCAGUGACAUUUUUUCUUUUUUUUUAAGUUAGUAAUUUUAUUCUAUAGACUCGGCUAGAUUAUAUAUUUAUUCGGAAAAGAAACCGACCAACAGACCAGACUUUCAACUGGAGACUCUUCUUUUUCCCCUUGACAUCACAACGCAAGGGUAGCGAGCAAGAAACAUAAGAAAAAAAUAGGGGGAUACCAUAUCCAUGUACUGAUAAAGUCUUUCGGUUUGGGUGGACAGUCAGUUCAAUCAAACUGAACUCAUAGAAAGCGAAACCCAGGAAAUACAGGUAGACCAAGACACUGUGAAAAUGAUAUCAUAGCUGCCUUAUGUUCUACAAGUGUCGGACAUGGUAGGACUGCAGAAUGGAUUAUCAAAGAGCCACAUGAAUUGUGGCAUUUAUACUAAUAGAAAACUUAUGUAUAAAGUAGUUUCCACAUGAGUAUUCAAAUUUUCCAUGAUAAAUCCUCAUAUAUCCAAUACAUAAAAUGCAACAUGCAAUUAUUAUGAUUUAUCGACUGAAGAUAUUUUGUUCGAUGGUCAGCUCAAUCAAACUGAACUCAUAGAAAACAAGCCCAGGAAACAUGGGAAAAACAAGAAACUACGAAGGAGAUAUCAAAUCUGCCAUGUGUUCUACGAGUGUCAGCCUGUUAGAAAUGUAAAAUGGAUUAUCAAAAUUUUUUUCCUCCACGUGAUUAUACAAAAAACUCAAUAGAAAUUGCAUAAAAAAACAGUUGAAUUCCCGCACUAUUAUAGUUCUCAUAAUCUCCAACUCUAAUUUGAAACAUCGUUGAUUUACAGCACAUAUGAUUUAGAUUGAGUUUCAUUUCAUAAUCUCCUCCAUUUCAAAGAUUCAAACACCACAAGGAGGCCACCAUGCUCGUCCUUUGAAAUGUAAUCACAACAAAACAAAGUACAGUACAAAAUCAGAAUAUUUGGAGGCUUUCGAAAUGAUAGCGUCCAAUGUCGCGAACUAAAAUUUCAAAGGUUCACAAAUCCAAUCAUAACUUGGCCUUCCAACAAUCAUGCACCUUAAAUUAUUUAAGCACCAAGUUAUCUAUUACUAGAUUAUUGAACUUGCACGUGUUAAGAAUCAAAAUGCAAAUCCAACUACUGGAUCUGUUAGCACUCGGAAAUCUGAAACGCCAUUAUUAUAAUGAUAAAUCCAAUAUGGAUCCAGUAAAACUGUAAUACAUCUAAGAACCUAUUAAGCAAUCCGGCCAAAAAGAUAACCUUAAUCAGAAAGCAAGACUCCGGUGGCAUUAACAGCAGCUGCAAUGUCAAUGCGCUCGUCAAUUAACAAGUAUGCGCGAUCCCUGAUCACCGAGUUCAGUAAACACGCAGCCUCGUAUAGCUUUUAGCCACUUGCUCCACCGCCAUUGAGCACCACAAUUCCAACUCUAUCCGAUACUGCAUCGUCAAUUACAUCAAGAACAUUAUUGUUGUCCCGUAAAACCUCCUCGGAGCUCAACUGGGCACGAGAUUCAGAACCUUGAUCUCAGGUUCCUUGUAACCGCCAGGGAACAAAGUUCGUGGGUGUUUUGAUUAAUUGAGCUCGAUACUGUAAAAGAUUUAACUUUUUUGUUUGGAGCGAUUGAGGAUGCAGAAAAACUGGAGGGGAGGAGUCGAUGACAUGGUUCUAGCAGUAGAAAAGGGAUGGAUUUUUGGUGGAAGAAAAGAAGGUGAGGCGGGAAAUAAGUGGAGCUCAGAGGGGAGAAGAGGGCUUCUGUCAGGUAUUGUAGUAAGUCAUAACCAAAUAACCCGUAAUUAAUGAUGAAAAAUCGAUACUCGUUCUUCUUCAUAGGCUAUAAGCUCAAAAUUGAAAAAUAUUAUAAAUUCACACCACAAUUGAUCAAUUGUGUUGAAUCUUUAGAGGAAAUCAGUCCAAUGGACUACAUGUUCAAUACCCAACUUCGGAGAUAAUUUCAAAUCACGUGAGAUGUUUGUAAUGGUUAUACUACCCUUAUGCUUGGUAACCAUUUUCAAUUUUCUUAAAGUCUAUCUAACUGAUUUUUUCUAGGAAAUCUGUUG